UACGUAGGUGGCAAGCGUUAUCCGGAUUUACUGGGUGUAAAGGGCGUGUAGGCGGGAGUGCAAGUCAGAUGUGAAAACCACGGGCUCAACCUGUGGCCUGCAUUUGUAACUGUACUUCUUGAGUACUGGAGAGGCAGACGGAAUUCCUAGUGUGGCGGUGAAAUGCGUAGAUAUUAGGAGGAACACCAGUGGCGAAGGCGGUCUGCUGGACAGCAACUGACGCUGAGGCGCGAAAGCGUGGGGAGCAAACAGG
rnacentral:rRNA from 1 species